rnacentral:pre_miRNA from 1 species
AAACUACUCCCUCCAUCCCAAAAUUCUUGUCUUACAUUUGUCUAGAUACGGAUGUAUCAAGUCACAUUUUAGUAUUAGAUACAUCCGUAUCUAGACAAAUCUAAGACAAGAAAUUUGGGACAGAGGGAGUAGUUG